CCUACGGGAGGCUGCAGUGGGGAAUAUUGCACAAUGGGGGAAACCCUGAUGCAGCGACGCCGCGUGAGUGAAGAAGUAAUUCGUUAUGUAAAGCUCUAUCAGCAGGGAAGAAAAUGACGGUACCUGCGUAAGAAGCCCCGGCUAACUACGUGCCAGCAGCCGCUGUCAUACGUAGGGGGCACGCGUUAUCCGGCUUUACUGGGUGUAAAGGGAGCUUAGACGGCAGUGCAAGUCUGGAGUGAAAGGCGGGGGCUCAACCCCCGGACUGCUAUGGAAACUGUACGGCUGGAGUGCAGGAGAGGUAAGUGGAAUGCCUAGUGUAGCGGUGAAAUGCGUAGAUAUUAGGAGGAACACCAGUGGCGAAGGCGGCUUACUGGACUGUAACUGACGUUGAGGCUCGAAAGCGUGGGGAGCAAACAGGAUUAGAUACCCUUGUAGUC
rnacentral:rRNA from 1 species